GCGUGGGUCGGCCCGCUGUACUGGAUCCAGUGGGCUGGGGGACACCGCCGCCUUCAUCCCCGCGGGCGGCGGAACGGUCCGGGAGGCCAACCGCGCCUCCCGGACUGCG
rnacentral:ncRNA from 1 species